rnacentral:rRNA from 1 species
ACGCUGGCGGCAUGCCUUACACAUGCGAGUCGAACGGCAGCACGGGUGCUUGCACCUGGUGGCGAGUGGCGAACGGGUGAGUAAUACAUCGGAACAUGUCCUGUAGUGGGGGAUAGCCCGGCGAAAGCCGGAUUAAUACCGCAUACGAUCUACGGAUGAAAGCGGGGGACCUUCGGGCCUCGCGCUAUAGGGUUGGCCGAUGGCUGAUUAGCUAGUUGGUGGGGUAAAGGCCUACCAAGGCGACGAUCAGUAGCUGGUCUGAGAGGACGACCAGCCACACUGGGACUGAGACACGGCCCAGACUCCUACGGGAGGCAGCAGUGGGGAAUUUUGGACAAUGGGCGAAAGCCUGAUCCAGCAAUGCCGCGUGUGUGAAGAAGGCCUUCGGGUUGUAAAGCACUUUUGUCCGGAAAGAAAUCCUUGGCCCUAAUACGGUCGGGGGAUGACGGUACCGGAAGAAUAAGCACCGGCUAACUACGUG